rnacentral:rRNA from 1 species
UACAGAGGUCUCAAGCGUUAGGCGGAAUCACUGGGCUUAAAGCGUGUGUAGGUGGGUUUGUAAGUACCUUGUGAAAUCCCAUGGCUCAACCAUGGAACUGCUUGGUAUACUGCGAAUCUUGAGCUGUCUAGAGGUUACUGGAACAAACGGUGGAGCGGUGAAAUGCGUAGAUAUCGUUUGGAACGCCAAUGGUGAAAACAGGUAACUGGGGACACGCUGACACUGAGACACGAAAGCCAGGGGAGCAAACGGG